UACGUAGGUGGCAAGCGUUACUCGGAAUCACUAGGCGUAAAGCGCAGGUAGGCGGUUUGGUAAGUCUUUUGUGAAAGCUCCCGGCUCAACUGGGAGAGGUCAAAGGAAACUACUAGGCUAGAGUGUGGUAGGGGAUACUGGAAUUCCUGGUGUAGCGGUGAAAUGCGUAGAUAUCAGGAAGAACACCCGUGGCGAAGGCGGCUCUCUGGAACGCAACUGGACGCUGAGACGCGAAAAGCCGUGGG
rnacentral:rRNA from 1 species